UGGAUGCUCAUCAGAAGCAAGGGAGGUGGGAGGAAUAAUAGGUAGGCACUAAAAGGGACUUGGCAAUCAUGACGCAUCAUCUUACCUGCUGAAAAAAUCAGCUGGCUUUAGCUAGGAGAACAGGCCACCUUACUUAACCCAGAAAAGGAAUAUGUAAAAUAUGUGUUCAAUAAAUAGCCAAAUGCCUUGUCAUCUAAUUAGUGAUGUGCAUGAAUGGAUGAAUGAGAUUCCCACUGUCCUUAUCUACUAUCCAGUGAAACCACAGCCAAGGGAACAGGCUUGG
rfam:Aptenodytes forsteri contig10922, whole genome shotgun sequence.